GAGGCUAGGUCUAAGGUCACGUGGGACGGUAGAUCUAGAUUGGAUCGCUUCGGCUGGAACGAGCGACCCUCGAAACCUGGCAGGCCGGCCGGUAUCUAGUACCGCCCGUGCCACCACUCGUACCGCGCUAGGUACGACCCGCGACAGUAGUCGCACCGGCGGAGGCGGCGGCGGUGGCUCUACUCGGAAGAGUACCCGCAGGCGCUGCUGUAAGCCAAAUACUUUUUGCUCGAUCUCUGCUACGUCCGUAAAGACCACUGGCGACUUCGUCGGUUCCUUUUAUUGUCCGUUGACGUCCACACCCGCUUCGUUCAUUCCCUAGAUCGGAUACAGUAACUCCUAACGGAACUACUCAAAUACCACGUACACCCUUCGGCCUCGGCCAGAGCUGCCGACAAAUUCGACUUUCUGGCAGCAGCGUAACGUUUUGUCUAGGCACCAGAGUUUCGUUCUCAACUCCUUCACUCGUUGUCCUUGUGGGCGAUAUUGAAAUAGUUGUGCCUACGGAGGUCGUCAUAACUGCUCCGCUUAAGGAUGUACCUUCUAUAGGCGUCGGUGAGUCGAUCGUUGUAACUGCUCCGUGUCGAACACCCGAAACGAUUCUGGUUUUUCCUCAACUAAUUAUACCAACUACAAUUGAGAUCUAUACCAGAAAGUUUCCACUAUUCACAGCAACCGUACCCACCAAAUCCGUUCUGAUGAGAACGGUCCUUUCAUAUACUUUCAUUCCUUUUGUAACAUUUAUUUAAACGAACCACACGAACCCAGUGGUAUAGUGUCAGUAAAAGGUUCUACCUCUACGAGUUCCCGUACUAAUACGUUGAAAACCCAGGGCUCAGUGACUCCUUUACGAACUUUCUAGAACUUCCCUUCCGUCACGUUCAUCUUCUGGAGAGGUCCAUGGAGUCUCUUUUAAACCUCCUGUUCUCCAUGAAGUAACAAGAGCUACUGGAUACCUGGUAUCUAAGAACCUUAACCUAGUUUCUAUAACGAAAAGGAUAAUCUUUGUUGUUUCCAUCGGCUUAUUAUUAUUGUUGAGCUCUACAACCGAACCGACUCGUCACGUGAAGACUUAGCGAAUAGAUGGUCGAAUUUGUAGACGUUUAUUUCCUACGGUGUGUAAACGAUGAUUCUUUCUCAUCCUUUUGUGUACUUAUGUACUUUUUACUAUUCCUUCACUUCUACCACCAGUUGUUUUACCAUUUCUUCACACCACCAGACGGCAACCGAUAUGAGUGAUAACCUCCGUACGAACGGUCGUUUUUCCACUGUCUCACCCUUUCAUAGAUACUUGUUUAGGGUAGUCUCGAGCUCUCGUUGGGAUCGGAACUUCGUGACUCCUUCUAUCAAUGAGACUCGAUGUUGUUGAACGGCAGAGUAGAGUUCAGUACGAAAGAUAUAGAUUCGUAGAAAGGACUCCUAAAACUUUAGUUUUCCUCCGCAGAUCAUCUGUCUACCUAUCGGCUCCCCAAACAAUGUCGGUCUCCACCUCAUUUGUAGCUCCUACAACCUUAUUCAAUAAAGUGGCUCGAUUAGUUGGCUUCGUACUAAGUUGGGAGCUUUCACUUGUACCUUCCUUUAUAAUUCUCGACAGCUCAGGUACUAUAGUACGCACUACACUACUAGAGUUAUAGAUCCCUACUUUAAAAACACGUGAACCAUCCUCUAUUACGAUGACGACAUCGUCUGACAUUGAUGGUGGUACAUCGUAAGGUACCAUCGUUCGCGGUUUUCUAGCCGUACCUAACAUAGGUACAAGCAAGUAAUUGGCACAAACCACUUUCUAGGUACCUCGGUAGUCGAAGUGAAAAAAGUAGAUUCAACUCUUACGAAUCUCGGGAACUGGAUCUUCUACCCCUAAAACAACAGUCUGUCCUUCUGUAGUUGUUGUAUCCCAGUGACGCGGUGAACUUUAUAGACUGACAAUCCGGAAAACCACUCACAAGUUUAAACGUAUUUGACGGUCCUAGAUAACCGUUCAAUGUUCCGAACGUCUCAAACCUGAACCCUAUGUCGACAUAAUUUUGUGAUGGUUGACUCUAACCAUUUGAACUUCCAGAAGCAUGCGAGGCCACGUCUUUUUUACUUAUAAAAUUUAUAAUACUAAUAAAGUUUAUAAACUCACUCUUGUACCUCUUUAUGUUCACGUACCCACCAUAUAACACAUAUGGGUACCAUACGAGAUCACCCAAAGGUUCACCACGCGCACUUCUUUUUCUCCCACGACAUCGCAACGCAGUUCCUUAGUCAUUGAAUUUUCUCAAUGUCUAUGAUCUCAUGCACCUGUAGCUUUCUUGUUCAUCGUCUCGUUAGCUUCUCGAACCCCUCGAAUGUGUUGAUUUCUUUAACUCUCACUGAUGCCUUCCCCGUUGGCUCCUUUUUACGUUCGAUAAGACCCUCCGGUAACCCUUCGAGGGAACAGAAAUGAGAGAAGUACACCUACCAUUGUUAUAGCUCACCGACCCAAGACGAAGGAAACGAGGGGGGGAGUACUCCUGGGACUCUAACUUUCCUUUAUAACAUCUCCACGGGUUGACCCAACCAUCAGACUCCGUAAACCACUUCUAAUAUAAGACACCCAGGCAUCUUUUUCUUCCUCUUUUUUGGUACCUCUACGAUCCCCGUGACGGGUUGGAGUACGAGCAACUAGAGAGCAAAAUAAUACCACAAGCUCUCCUCGAUCACAAACACAGCCUUCGUAAAGGUUCAGAGUCCUAUGAAGCAUACGUGAAGGCCGUACUAUACUCUUACCACUCUAUGCUCCUCCCGUGGUACGGGGUGUAACGUCUCGAUAUAAAUGUAAAGUGGAAGGUUUUGAGACAUGCCUAAUGACCGUAGUUUGUGGAAGGUUUCUAGUUCCUCUAAAGUUAAGCUUAGGGGUCCCACGACUUAUUAAAACUCGACGUGGUCCUUCACUUUAGUGUGGGUUUGGUAGGACACUACGCUCACAGUAAGGCUCUGGCCCCAUGAUGGUGGCAUCCUCCUAGUUUACAACAUCUCCACCUUCUUCGUUACCCCCUUAGUAGUCGACAUGAAAGGCUCGUGCCUCGUCGUGCUCUCUCGAUGAAUCUACACGUCUGUCCCUCGCUGUCACUUCUACUAGACGCCACUGGUGCUCAAAGACCAACUACGGAAGGCUCAAGACUAAGAUAUAUCCCGCCUUUAACAGAGUUCUAGGUUACGCGAUGUAAUAUAUGACAUGAUGUCUUCUACGAUGACGCUUCGACUUAAAGUAACAAUUCGUUGUCGUACCACGACGGUUUGGAAGGUUCAAAACGACGAUGCCUGGAGGCUACACGACACUUCGACUCGAAUCUGGAAUCUACGUCAAACUUACAAAAAAUACGCCGCUUACCGUGUCCUCAAGGUACAUAGAACACCCGUACUCACUACCCUGCUUCUGCUACCUCGUUCGAAGGUCUAGAGUCUAGCUCGAUGUCAACCGUAGACGACCGGACUACUAUUAGAUAAGAAACCUGAAACCUCACCUACUAGUUAGACUACUCUAUUGAACGUUAACACUUGUUUUCUCAUGAAACGAAAGAAAACGGUUAUGUUAGAGAUACAAAGGGAAAACAGGAAAAAACCUCUACUAGUGAGAGACAAAGAACGACGGUAUUAUAAACAUGAAGUACGAGAAACGGUCCGAAGGAAACUAAGAAGUGGAGCUUUACGUCGUAGUGUUUAAGUGGAACGGCGGACGAAGCUGGUGGUUCAGCCGUGUUGAGUUGAAAGGAUACAAUACUGACCAUGUAUUCACGUUUACUAAAGCCACCGGAGUUACAUUGCCUCCGCUGCUAGCUAAGAAGCUUUUAUGGUACCUUACCUAAUAGUUGGUUGGACUACGGUUCCGCACGUUAACAACGAUGUCUGAAGGAAACAAACGGUUAUUGUAAUAGUAGUAAACCGGCGGUUUUCAGUUGUAAUAAACGAACCGAGGGAAAGUAGACCUUGGUUAGUCGUUGCUCCAGCUACGACCCCGGCGGUAGUCGCAACGGCGGAGACGACGACGGUUGCUCUACUCGAACGAGUACCCGCAGUGCUCCCUAUAGACCAUAAACAAAAUUGAAAAUUGUCUGUCGGUUACGUAAACCUUCAUGUACACUCUUUGUGAACUUAAACUGUUCUAUCUAUACUUGUUGACGUGAGGAUGAUAUACCAACUAACUACUGAUGACUUUCGAACGGCCAUCUUGGUUCGCAGACAAGUCGACGGACAGGUUCAGGUCCCUGUGUGCUGCAGUAAGUGCCUCGCAGUACGGUACGCACUAUCCACCUAGCACAGACGAGGUGUAGAGGAAAACGUACCGGUCCUUGCCCACGCGAACAAAGGUUUAACGUCAGCUACCCACUAGCGACGUAGGGUUGUUGGUCUAAUUACCAUGUGGUCGGUCGACCCUGUGUUGUUAAUAAACUAGUCCUGGGAUGUCCUGGACAUACAGUGGAGUUCAUGUCUAGUGAUCACCUCACGCAAGCGUGUUCACUAAAGUAGUACGGGAAGGAGAAGCCGGACAUUCUAUGUCAUAGAAUACAAAUGUUAAACUUUAUUUCUUGUCAGUGAAA
rnacentral:rRNA from 1 species